rnacentral:rRNA from 1 species
AGAGUUUGAUCCUGGCUCAGGAUGAACGCUAGCGGCAGGCUUAACACAUGCAAGUCGAGGGGCAUCGGGAGGAAAGCUUGCUUUCCUUGCCGGCGACCGGCGCACGGGUGAGUAACACGUAUGCAACCUGCCCUCUUCAGGGGGACAACCUUCCGAAAGGGAGGCUAAUCCCGCGUAUAUCGGUUUCGGGCAUCCGAGAUCGAGGAAAGAUUCAUCGGAAGAGGAUGGGCAUGCGGCGCAUUAGCUUGACGGCGGGGUAACGGCCCACCGUGGCGACGAUGCGUAGGGGUUCUGAGAGGAAGGUCCCCCACACUGGUACUGAGACACGGACCAGACUCCUACGGGAGGCAGCAGUGAGGAAUAUUGGUCAAUGGGAGAGAUCCUGAACCAGCCAAGCCGCGUGGGGGAAGACGGCCCUAUGGGUUGUAAACCUCUUUUGUCGGAGAACAAAACCCGGGACGUGUCCCGGACUGCGUGUAUCCGAAGAAAAAGCAUCGGCUAACUCCGUG